rnacentral:rRNA from 1 species
GACGAACGCUGGCGGCGUGCCUAAUACAUGCAAGUCGAGCGAAACGGCGGAUGGGUUAGUAACGCGUGGGUAACCUGCCCUUAAGUCUGGGAUCCCAUUUGGAAACCGAUGCUAAUACCGGCUACUCAAGGAUGGACCUGCGAUGCAUUAGCUAGUUGGUAAUGUAACGGCUUACCAAGGCGAUGAUGCAUAGCCGGGUGGAGAGAGUGAUCGGCAACAUUGGGACUGAGACACGGCCCAGACUCCUCCGGGAGGCAGCAGUAGGGAAUCUUCGACAAUGGACGAAAGUCUGAUGGAGCCACGCCGCGUGAGUGAAGAAGGUUUUCGGAGCGUAAAGCUCUGUUGUUGGUGAAGCGGUAAUUACCCAGAAAGUCACGGCUAACUACGUGCCAGCCGCCGCGGUAAUAC